CAGUCGCCACGGUAAUACGAAGGGUGCAAGCGUUACUCGGAAUUACUGGGCGUAAAGCGUGCGUAGGUGGUGGUUUAAGUCCGUUGUGAAAGCCCUGGGCUCAACCUGGGAAUUGCAGUGGAUACUGGGUCACUAGAGUGUGGUAGAGGAUAGUGGAAUUUCCGGUGUAGCAGUGAAAUGCGUAGAGAUCGGAAGGAACAUCUGUGGCGAAGGCGACUAUCUGGGCCAACACUGACACUGAGGCACGAAAGCGUGGGGAGCAAACAGGAUUAGAGACCCGAGUAGUCCCUGUCUCUUAUAA
rnacentral:rRNA from 1 species